CUGGAAAAAAUGAGGCGAGAAGAGACGGAUUUGCAAAAGCAGAAAGAAAAUGAGAUAGCAGUAACAACUGGCAACCAUAUGUUCACCUGAUGUAUUUGCAAAUAUUUAAGUUCUAGGCUUCCUCAGGAAAUCUGGAAAGUAUUGGCACGGAUUAGGAAAGCCUUUUUUAUUAUAAUACAUCCAUCACUGUAUGGGAAAGCAGGAAAGGAUCUGCCAAUGAAACGAAAUAGUUUUCUGGAAAUAACAUCUACAGACAAUUGAAACUAUUGACUAUAGAAUGACACAGUUGUUUCAAGAUUCCAUAGGUAAUCUGGAAUGGAGGCAUGGAGGUGGAAGUUCUGGACUCUUCUUCUCAAUGUCUAGCUAACCUGGUCAGAGGCUUGCCAGUAGGGGCCCCGAUAAAAGGAAGCUACACCCAAGAUAUGAGACAAGAAUAUGGGACAGUUAGCUUUGAUCUCUGAAUGUGUUGUGUAUUGGUUUCAGUGCCCAUCUCAUAGAAAUAAAAUACUGCUUUAUUCUGCA
rnacentral:antisense_RNA from 1 species